rnacentral:tRNA from 1 species
UCUCUAGUGUCUCAAUCGGUUAAAGCGCCGUACUUAUAUUACAGUAUCGGAGAAAUACGGAGGUUGUGAGUUCGAGCCUCACCUGGAUAC